rnacentral:rRNA from 1 species
CCCUUAGAUGUUCUGGGCCGCACGCGCGCUACACUGAUGCAUUCAACGAGUUUAUAACCUUGACCGAGAGGUCUGGGUAAUCUUUUGAAAGUGCAUCGUGAUAGGGAUAGAUUAUUGCAAUUAUUAAUCUUGAACGAGGAAUUCCUAGUAAACGCAAGUCAUCAACUUGCAUUGAUUACGUCCCUGCCCUUUGUACACACCGCCCGUCGCACCUACCGAUUGAAUGGUUCGGUGAAAAAUUCAGACUGUAACUUCGUCUUCUUAAUUGAAGACGUUGCCGCGGAAAGAUUUUUAAACCUCAUCAUUUAGAGGAAGGUGAAGUCGUAACA